rnacentral:rRNA from 1 species
UACGAAGGGGGCUAGCGUUGUUCGGAAUUACUGGGCGUAAAGCGCACGUAGGCGGAUCGAUCAGUCAGGGGUGAAAUCCCAGGGCUCAACCCUGGAACUGCCUUUGAUACUGUCGAUCUGGAGUAUGGAAGAGGUGAGUGGAAUUCCGAGUGUAGAGGUGAAAUUCGUAGAUAUUCGGAGGAACACCAGUGGCGAAGGCGGCUCACUGGUCCAUUACUGACGCUGAGGUGCGAAAGCGUGGGGAGCAAACAGGAUAGAUACCCGUUGA